ACCAAACUGGGAGCUUCCCCUCUCUGCCUGGGAACAUGGUGGUGGCUGGCAACAACACACAACAGCAUUUGAGGCCUGGCCAGGCUAACCAAGGGCUGAGGGUACCCCAAAAGUGGUAUCUCUGGGAUACCUUGCACCCCAAAAUUUUAUGCUCUUCUGGAGGGGAAAGGGACAACAUCUGCUCCAUCUGAAGGGGAUUGGAAAGCACACGUGUCCCAGCACCAGCUUGCUUCAGGAUGCAAUGGGAAGAUGGCUUGAUCUCUUCUGGGCAGCCAUGCCACUUUCUGAACUCCCAGGGAGUCAAGAGAGCACCAGCUGGUCUUCCUCUGCAUCUGGCACAGGUGCAUGGUGUAUGGUGCCCAGUCCUCAGCCCAGGAUGGCAAGAGGCAUGACCAGAGAUAUCAGAUACAGGCAGGAGAGGCUGACAUUGCUGUAGCAGCAUGGUUCCAAGCUGGGUCUUGGCUGUCGUGAGCAGAGGACCAACAGGGACAGGGGGACUGCAGAGCCAGGUGCAUAGCAUGGUUCUUCAACAUGCACACUGGCCUAGCCCGCCAAGAAAAAGGCACAGAGAGUUUAACCAAAGAAGAAGGAAUGAUGUCUGAUGUUUGUCAGAGUGUGUCAGCUCUCUGAGUUAAACUGGGGGGUUUGGGCAAGGAGAGGAUGUCUGACCACUUCAGAAACUCAUAAAGAUGGAGGCUUCAAAGAUUAAAUGUGAAUUCCAGACUCAGUGACUUGUCAAGCAGCAUUCCUAGAAAGAUUGUGUCCUAAAUAACUUGAAAUGUAAGCAGAGAUGAUAGAAAAAUGCUUU